CUUGCACCUCGACACACCUCUCCUCGAGCAACAAAAUAACAAAGAAACUGUAUGGGACUAAAAAUAAUGACGUGCACGCCCAGUUGGGGCAAAUUCUGGACGAAAGAUACAAAGAGACCAAAAAACCCAACUGCCACUUUUGAAGAUCCCAGAGCAAAAGCAGGGUACUGCACGUGCCCCCUGCACACAACACCACCUAAGCGGUGGGCAAACCACCUAAGCCACCCUUCUGGCCCGACCCCUGGACACACCCCUGCCCUCACGCCAUAUAACAGGGGUCCCCAACCCCCAGGCCGCAGCCUGGUAGGAAUCAGGCUGCACAGCAGGAGAUUUACCCGCCUAUUAAUGUGCUGCCCUCGUUGUCUCGGUGAAUGAAGUCUGCUACUGGAGAAGGUAUGACCAGAAAGGAUCACGCCGAUGUGUCUAACCAGCUGUAUGCAUGCUAUGCUAUUGGUAAGGAUGCGCAGGCCAUGAAAGCCGUAGUUGGAGAAGAAGCCG